CUACGGGGGGCAGCAGUGGGGAAUCUUGGACAAUGGGCGCAAGCCUGAUCCAGCCAUGCCGCGUGAGUGAAGAAGGCCUUCGGGUUGUAAAGCUCUUUUGUCAGGGACGAUAAUGACGGUACCUGAAGAAUAAGCCCCGGCAAACUUCGUGCCAGCAGCCGCGGUAAUACGAAGGGGGCUAGCGUUGUUCGGAAUUACUGGGCGUAAAGCGCUCGUAGGCUGACAUUUAAGUCAGGGGUGAAAUCCCGAGGCUCAACCUCGGAACUGCCUUUGAUACUGGGUGUCUCGAGUCCGGAAGAGGUGAGUGGAAUUCCUAGUGUAGAGGUGAAAUUCGUAGAUAUUAGGAAGAACACCAGUGGCGAAGGCGGCUCACUGGUCCGGUACUGACGCUGAGGAGCGAAAGCGUGGGGAGCAAACAGGAUUAGAUACCCGUGUAGUC
rnacentral:rRNA from 1 species